UGAACAAGUACGAAACGAAGAUUGGACAUAGUAUGUACCUUAGUUAACAAGAAAUUGAUUAGUAUAGUUUAUUUGUUAUGAACAAUGUCUUGUGUUUGUAAUUGUGUAUUUGAAUUAUUUGCUUCGUGAAACAUUUGUUAUGAAUAAAUUAUUAAUUAAAACACGCAAUAGCAAGUCAUAAGCUCUCGAGUUAACAUGAUCAUGCCCCGAUCACCUAUUCCGUUGCGGGUUGGGGUGUGACAUGGCCGGUGGUGGUGGCCGGUGGUGGUGGUGGCCGGCAGUGGUGGUGGUGAGAGGUGGUGGUGAGUGGUAUUUUGACUUGAGCUUUAGAAAUAUAAUUUUAAACGAGCCGAGCCCGCGCCCGAGCUCUCUCAAAGUUAAAGUUGGAGCUCUCGGGCUCGACUAGUAUUUUGACCGAAAGUCAAAGAUAUAUAGAUUUGAUUUGAUUUAAAAAGUCAACCAGUUAUUGAUUAACUGGUCUGAAGUUUAAUGAAUGAUUCUUAAUUUCACUGAAGAGGAGUGAUGCAUAGAGAAACUGCAGAGAAAUGGUUGGUGAGUGCUUGUUAUUGUGAUGUAAAUGUGUGUGAUUUAUGUGGUUUUUAGUUAUUUUAAUUAAUGCCAAAUCCUACUUAAAUCUAGUUGGUGGUAUAGAGAUUGGACCAGAAUAGUGUGAGGUAAACGUUCAAGUACAAAUAAAAAAGAUGAAAACUUGGUAAGAGCAUAUGGUUUGUUUUGUACAAUUCAAGAUUGUAUUGGUGCAUCCAUCACAUGGCCCUAUCCAUUCAUCUCGGUAGUCCAUGAGGAUUGAGGACGCAUGAUGACUCAAGAUUUUAUGCUUCUUAUUUCUUUAAUUGCUUUUAAUUUCUUUGUUAAAUGUUAAGACUUUAUAUUAGAUAAUGUUAUAACUUAUUUAUAGUUAGUGUUUUUGUUAUGGACAUGCUUAUUUUAAAUA